CCUGGUUGAUCUUGCCAGUAGUCAUAUGCUUGUCUCCACAGAUUAAGCCAUGCAAGUGAAAGUACAUAUGUAAAUAAUAUAUUGAAACUGCGAACGGCUCAUUAAAACAGUUAUAAUCUACUUGAUGUUUUUAAUAUAAGGAUAACUACGGAAAAUCUGUAGCUAAUACUUGUGAAAAUACCUUUUGAUAUAUACAUAUGUAUGUAUCAUUAAGGUAUGUAUUUGUUAGAUAUAAGAAUAAAAUAAAUAUAAUUGAAUUAUAACAAAGAAGAAACACAUAAAAUAUGUGUAUUAUCAAUCGAGUAUCUGACCUAUCAGCUUUUGAUGUUAGGGUAUUGACCUAACAUGGCUAUGACGGGUAACGGGGAAUUAGAGUUCGAUUCCGGAGAGGGAGCCUGAGAAAUAGCUACCACAUCUAAGGAAGGCAGCAGGCGCGUAAAUUACCCAAUUCUAAAAAAGAGAGGUAGUGACAAGAAAUAACAAUACAAUAUCGAAAAAUGAUUUUGUAAUUGGAAUGAUAGGAAUUUACAAGGUUCCUAGAGAAACAAUUGGAGGGCAAGUCUGGUGCCAGCAGCCGCGGUAAUUCCAGCUCCAAUAGCAUAUAUUAAAAUUGUUGCAGUUAAAACGUUCGUAGUUGAAUAUUAAAGAAUCCGAUGUUUCAUUUAAACUGGUUUGGGAAAACCAAAUAUAUUAUAUAUUUUGCUUUGUUCAAAAUAAGGUUUUCUAAUAAAUUAUGUUUUUAUCAGAUAUGACAGAAUCUUUUUUAAAAUCUCUUCAAUAUGCUUUUAUUGCUUUUGAGAGGUUUUGUUACUUUGAGUAAAAUUAAGUGUUCAUAACAGACGGGUAGUCAUGAUUGAGUUCAUUGUGUUUGAAUACUACAGCAUGGAAUAACAAAUAUGAAUAAGCUAAUUAUUUUUUUUUUUCAUUAUUUUUUUUGAUAUUCUUAUUAGCUUAGUUACGAUUAAUAGGAGUAGCUUUGGGGGCAUUCGUAUUCAGAUGUCAGAGGUGAAAUUCUAAGAUUUUCUGGAGACGGACUACUGCGAAAGCAUUUGCCUAAUCUAUUUCCAUUAAUCAAGAACGAAAGUUAAGGGAGUGAAGACGAUCAGAUACCGUCGUAAUCUUAACCAUAAACUAUACCGACUAGGUGUUGGAUGAAUAUAAAAAAUAUAUAAAUAUGUAGCAUUUCUUAGGGAAUGUUGAUUUUAUAUUAGAAUUGCUUCCUUCAGUACCUUAUGAGAAAUCAAAGUCUUUGGGUUCUGGGGCGAGUAUUCGCGCAAGCGAGAAAGUUAAAAGAAUUGACGGAAGGGCACCACCAGGCGUGGAGCUUGCGGCUUAAUUUGACUCAACACGGGAAAACUCACUAGUUUAAGACAAGAGUAGGAUUGACAGAUUAAUAGCUCUUUCUUGAUUUCUUGGAUGGUGAUGCAUGGCCGUUUUUAGUUCGUGAAUAUGAUUUGUCUGGUUAAUUCCGAUAACGAACGAGAUCUUAACCUGCUAAUUAGCGGUAAGUACACUAUAUUUUUAUUUGAAAUUGAAUAUAGGUAAUUAUACAUGUUUAUUCAGUGUUCAAAUUAGGAUAUUUUUAUAUUAAAAUAUUCUUUUCCCUGUUCUACUAUAAUAAUUUGUUUUUUUUACUCUAUUUCUCUCUUCUUUUAAGAAUGUACUUGUUUGAUUAAAUAAAGCUUCUUAGAGGAACAGUGUGUAUCUAACACAAGGAAGUUUAAGGCAACAACAGGUCUGUGAUGUCCUUAGAUAAACUAGGCUGCACGCGUGCUACAAUGAUAUAUAUAACAAGUUGUUAAAAAUGUACUUAUAAAUAAGUGUGUACAGUUUUUCCUGUACUGAAAAGUAUAGGUAAUCUUUAUCAGUAUAUAUCGUAAUUGGGAUAGAUUAUUGCAAUUAUUAAUCUUGAACGAGGAAUGCCUAGUAAGCAUGAUUCAUUAGAUUGUGCUGACUACGUCCCUGCCCUUUGUACACACCGCCCGUCGCUCCUACCGAUUGAAAGAUAUGAUGAAUUGUUUGGAUAUGAAUUAAAAUAAUGAAAUUUUAUAUUUCUGAUUUUUUCUAGAAGAACUGUAAAUCCUAUCUUUUAAAGGAAGGAGAAGUCGUAACAAGGUUUCCGUAGGUGAACCUGCGGAAG
rnacentral:rRNA from 1 species